UGGGGAAUAUUGGACAAUGGGCGAAAGCCUGAUCCAGCCAUGCCGCGUGUGUGAAGAAGGUCUUCGGAUUGUAAAGCACUUUAAGUUGGGAGGAAGGGCAUUAACCUAAUACGUUAGUGUUUUGACGUUACCGACAGAAUAAGCACCGGCUAACUCUGUGCCAGCAGCCGCGGUAAUACAGAGGGUGCAAGCGUUAAUCGGAAUUACUGGGCGUAAAGCGCGCGUAGGUGGUUUGUUAAGUUGGAUGUGAAAUCCCCGGGCUCAACCUGGGAACUGCAUUCAAAACUGACUGACUAGAGUUUGGUAGAGGGUGGUGGAAUUUCCUGUGUAGCGGUGAAAUGCGUAGAUAUAGGAAGGAACACCAGUGGCGAAGGCGACCACCUGGACUAAUACUGACACUGAGGUGCGAAAGCGUGGGGAGCAAACA
rnacentral:rRNA from 1 species